AAAUCAUCAUGAUAUAACAAUACGACAGUGUUUAGAGACUAACCCAACAACUAGCCAUGUCAACAACAACUAAUGGGUUGACAAGACAACCAGUGGGUCUACAGCAGCCAUUCUGGGACAAAGGAUAUCACCCUUUCAUGAAAGCUGUCUCUUCUCUGUACUCCGUCACUGUGUCCCCGACCACGUCCAGAAUCUCCCGCACUACCACCGUUAAACGUUCUGUCAGAAUUGUUGUGGACAAGGACCUGAUGGGUGCAUUAGGAGAAGGGCACACAUGGAGAUGAUCUGCUUGGAAGAGGGGAUCCUUCAUCAUGCAAGGCAGUACAGGAACACCAUUUAUGCACUGACUGACAAUCAAGAAUCUGGAACUGACCACAAACAGUAUCAGCAGGCGGAAUACCGUCAGUUUGUCCUGUGGCUCUAUGGACGCCUCUUAGCAGGUCAUUCCAAGCUGCUGGUGUGAGACAUUUGUGACCGAUAUCCUGACUUGCACAAUAACUACACAGGUUUCAUUCCUAGGAGACUUUCAAGCCAUUUAUGAAAUACAUUCUUAUUUUGUAAAGGGGAAGCACUGUACAUGGUACUGGAGUUCUUGUGCAAUACACAUUUUAAUAUAUUUUAUAUUUUUGAAGUGCAAGUGUUAUUUAAAUUUGGACCUUUUUGAUUACAUUUUAUUGACUGUUGUGGAAACCUGAGUCAAAUUUCACAAAGUCAGUACAAUAAAGCCUUGUUCAAUGUCACUUCUAUUACUUUGAAUUAAGGUUUUCCUCACAAAGACAUUUUAUCAGAUUUGCAUUUUGUUUCCUGGUCACCUCAAGGAACAGUCAAAACAUUAGUGUAAUAAUUUAUUACACUGCCCUUGGGAUUACCGUAACACUUUUAUAAACAUUAAAUAGAUAGAUAGAAAAAAUACACACUUACACGCUUGGAACUAUGCGAGCGCUCUCCUCCAUCCCCUACCUGCUAUGGAGUUGCCCACAAGGCAAGAUGGAAUGAUUGGGAGGGGGAGAGAAAAUUCAAUAAAUAUCUUUGGAGCGGCAAAGUUGUGGUCCUUAGGGGUCUGCAAAGCAGGGGGGCAUUUUUAGGAACUGGAUGCAGUCUUAUAGAGCCUAUUU